rnacentral:rRNA from 1 species
GACGAACCGUCCAAACGUUAUUCGGAAUCACUGGGCUUACAGAGUUCGUAGGCGGUCUGGAAAGUUGGGUGUGAAAGUCCAGGGCUCAACCCUGGGAUGCCGGUCGAUACUGGCGGACUAGAGUCCGGAAGAGGCGAGUGGAAUUCCCGGUGUAGCGGUGAAAUGCGCAGAUAUCGGGAGGAACACCAAUGGCGAAGGCAGCUCGCUGGGACGGUACUGACGCUGAGACGCGAAAGCGUGGGGAGCAAACAGG